UAGGGAAUCUUCCACAAUGGGCGCAAGCCUGAUGGAGCAACGCCGCGUGAGUGAAGAAGAUCUUCGGAUCGUAAAACUCUGUUGUUAGAGAAGAACACGAGUGAGAGUAACUGUUCAUUCGAUGACGGUAUCUAACCAGCAAGUCACGGCUAACUACGUACCAG
rnacentral:rRNA from 1 species